UGGGGAGCAAACAGGAUUAGAUACCCUGGUAGUCCACGCCGUAAACGAUGUCUACUUGGAGGUUGUGCCCUUGAGGCGUGGCUUCCGGAGCUAACGCGUUAAGUAGACCGCCUGGGGAGUACGGCCGCAAGGUUAAAACUCAAAUGAAUUGACGGGGGCCCGCACAAGCGGUGGAGCAUGUGGUUUAAUUCGAUGCAACGCGAAGAACCUUACCUGGUCUUGACAUCCACRGAASUUUYCAGAGAUGGAUUGGUGCCUUCGGGAACYGUGAGACAGGUGCUGCAUGGCUGUCGUCAGCUCGUGUUGUGAAAUGUUGGGUUAAGUCCCGCAACGAGCGCAACCCUUAUCCUUUGUUGCCAGCGGUYMGGCCGGGAACUCAAAGGAGACUGCCAGUGAUAAACUGGAGGAAGGUGGGGAUGACGUCAAGUCAUCAUGGCCCUUACGACCAGGGCUACACACGUGCUACAAUGGCGCAUACAAAGAGAAGCGACCUCGCGAGAGCAAGCGGACCUCAUAAAGUGCGUCGUAGUCCGGAUUGGAGUCUGCAACUCGACUCCAUGAAGUCGGAAUCGCUAGUAAUCGUGGAUCAGAAUGCCACGGUGAAUACGUUCCCGGGCC
rnacentral:rRNA from 1 species